rnacentral:lncRNA from 1 species
UGCUUUCAGGUUUUUCCAUUCAUUCUGAUAUUCGAGCUUGCAAACAUUGUAAAAUGUUUCUCCAGCAAACUCGUUUGAUCAUUCUUUGCUCCAUAAACACUGACCAGUAGUUAGGUCACUCAUGUGUCUAUCUCUAUUGAACAAAUCUGUCGUUUCUAUCUAUUCCUAAAUAAUUAUUACUUUUUUUUCUUAGUUUCCUUUACAGCCCUAUUUUGUAUUACAUAUACUUAUUUCACUUAUUAUACAUUCUGGCUUGCAAAUAUUGUAAAGAUAUUUAAGCAAACCCGCUUUUACUAAGCUUUACUCCAUAAACAUCGA